rnacentral:lncRNA from 1 species
AAGGAGAUGUUCAAUUUCCUAUAGUAGUAUGUAAAUGCAUCUGACUUACCUGCUAGUAACCUUUCCUAACAAGUUCUGAAGAAACAACAGUAGAUCUGGUAUCAGUACUUUAUUCAGAAGAGCAUUUCUUCUUACAUGCACAGCUAAGAGUACAUGAAUUGAGCUACUGAAGCCCUUCCUGACCAACCUGGCUAAGGCUCCUUUCAGUUUGUCCUCUUCAUGGUUCUUUGGCAGGCAACAGCGUAAGCAAUUACCUGGACUAUGAGGCCUUUUGUAGCGGGGUGGGCACUGCCUAGGCAGUUUUUGAAAAAACUAGGAGCUUUAUUUGUCAUUGACAUUUGUAGCACGAUUAGUUAUUACCUGGAUUAAGUUGUAUAUAUUACAUCGUAUACCUAAUCUGACAAAUAACAGGUUGCAAUCCAAGUUUUGUUGAUCAUGAAGGGUUUGAGCAUGAUAGUCCAUUUAGGUCAUUAGGUCUCCCUCGAAUUGCCACGUACACACUUCAAUCCUCUCAACGAGCGUCCCCGCAACGUCACACUCCACAAUAAUCUGAAAUAAUUUAAAACAAUUAUAUACUUCUGGCUGCUCUUAUCUCCCUUCUCACCAACCGAGUCACUGGUUGGUUACAUUUUACUAACACCGCCGAAUGAGAGAUCAUAAUCCCUAUUACGUGUCCACCCUAACUGAUCACAACAUUGUCAUUUUUUAUCUAGCGUUAGCAACGCGUUGUUCAGUUGUCAUAGCUUCGAAACCGCGUUAUUUGUUUAUACACUACAUUUUUGGACUCAAGGCACAAAAGGGAUAAUAAACAAUUGUUAUAAACAAUUGUUAUAUAGUCUGCAAGGUCCAUUCCAAUUGUGUUUGUGUAUAUAUAUUUUAGCUUUCUCUCCUACACCCAGGCUUUAUGCCUCUCGUGCCUCAGUUUGAUGUGAAGAAAUGGUCCAUCAAGGCCAUUGGUUAUAUAGUCAGCAAUAGCAAUAUUGCCUUUCUUCAACCACAGCAAUGUUUAUUGGGUACGCAGGAUCAAUUAUCUUCUUAGUAAUUAACAUAAUAAUAUAUUAUGUUUGUAAAUGUGUAAAUAAAUUUUAUUCAAUAUUUAUAGUUUUACAACAAUUUAAUAUUAAAAUUUACCAAACAUAUACAAUUGUUUUUAUAACUCACAGCUCCUUUAAAAAUAAGUUUUUGCAAACGUUUAAUUAAUUUUUUUAAAUUGAUUAUUUUUAUAGCACAGCUAACAUCAAUUAUUUUAAAAGCUACAGUAUUACCAAAUUGACUCCUUACUCUUUUUAUUAAAAUUAUUAUUUAAAAGUUCUAAUUGCAAUAUGUUACCAACUUUUAUUUCACAUCUAUAAUUUUUUUUUCACAACAGCUAUAACUUAAACGUCGCAUCAUCUUAAUACCAAAUAGGGCUAUAGUUAUUUGGGACCUUUUUUUUUUCCCCCCCUUUUCCCUCUUCUUUAGCAACCUACAAAAAACACUAGAAAUAAAACAGAAAAAUUGAGUAUGAAAUUAAGCAUUAGUUAAGUAUGAAGUUGGGUGAGUCGAGUAUAAAAUUAAGUACUUUUCUAUAUGAUUUUAAAUAAAGGGUUUUUUAAUAUUUUGCUUUGUGAUUUUGGAUAUAUUUCUACAAUACCAGUAAACUAUGUAAUAAGCAUAUAUUUGUUGUUUUGUUGUGAAUGGGACAUAUCUAGCGCCAUUUGCUCUAGGGAUGGCAAUGGGGCAGAUAUGGGUUGGAUCUACUUUGCUCCAAAUUCAAAUCCAUAAUAAAAAUCAAGAUCCGUAUCUACUCCAGAUCUGUCAUGAAUCCAUAUUUUUUGCUCCAUAUCCAGAUCCAAAAAAGAAAUAAAUAUCUAUAUCUACUCCAAAUCUUAAAAAAAAUUAAAAUCCAAAUCUGUUCUACAUCUGUCAUGAAUUCUAAAACUCAGUAAUAAAAAAUUAAUAAUUUUUUAGAAUGAAAAUUGAAGGCUUAAAUGUAUUGAUAAAAAAUAAAUUAUAUAAUUUUUCUCAAAAAUAUAAUAAAUAUUGUAGCUUAUACUUUUAUCUCAAAACAAUAAAUAAGAAAGAUAAUAAAAUAUCAUUCAAAAGUAAUUGUAGAAGUAAGAUCAAUCUAAUAUUCUAUUGUCUCCUUCAUCAUUCUAAUAUCCACGACACACCUACCAUCAUUUCUACAACAUUAAAUAAUGACAUAUAAAUUAAAUAUGAUUUAUAUUCAGUCCUUUAUUAUUUUUAUUAUGAUCAUAUUUGACUAAAUAUAUGAAUAACUAUAUUUUUUAAAAAUUAUUUGGCUUGCAAUUUGAAUAUUUAGGCUUGGCUGACCUUUAUAUUUACAAAACUAACCUUUAAGUUUUAAGAGUUUAAAUGCAUGGUAAAUACCACUAAUAUGUUAUGAAUAAAAUUUAUUAUUAUUAUAAUUCCAUAAUUGUUAAGAAACUUUUAAAAUAAAAUAAAAUUAAAAGAUGAGUGAAUAUGAAUGUGGAUUUAGAUAUUAAGAUAGAUCCAGACCUGCUCCAGAUCCGUCUUAGAUCCGCACAUCGAUAUUCAAAUUCGAUCCAAAUUCAUUUUAAACUGACCCAAAUCCGAUCCGAUUGGAUUUGGAUCACGUGGAUCUUGGGUCAAAUCCAAUCCAUUGCCAUCCCCAAUUUGCUCCCGUGACUGAUCUUUAUAACAGAUCCAAUUACCCUCAUUAUAGUCUUGAUCGAAAGCUAACAUAGCACAAUUCUGAUAUGUAAUGUGAGUGAUGGGAGAGUCACAAAUUAUUGUAUAAAUUUAUUUUAUCUAAAUUAAUUAGUAUAAAUUGAUAGAAAUAUAAAAUAAUAAAAAUAUAAAUCACGUAGACCAAGGUGUAUUUAAUAUAACUAAUAAAAUUUUACUCGAUCAGUUUAUAUAAGAAUUUGUAAUUUUAUUAUUACUCAUGGUACUUGAACAGUGGCUGAUUGGUCAGCUAGUGGUAUAAGUGGCAACGACCAAACUGUUGAGUCUCCACGUGGGUUUCAAAAUGAGUCAAGAGUCAAGAAAUUAGCUAUCAAGUUAUGAAAAAUAUUUGUAAACAUGUCUUUGAGAUGAUACAUUGUCAUAAUCAACAUCAUAUCCUAAUUGACAAAGAAGGGUUGCAAGGGAAACUAAGCAUGUGCCUUCAUUUUCACUUGAAAUAAAGCGCGAGGGAAAGAUCUCAUGUUAUCACAUGAUGCCGUGUGAUCACCUAGAAGCCCUUCCACACAUAUUUCUUCUUAAAUUGUCUUCUUCUAAUUUCUUGGGCCACCGCGAAACCACAAUGUCAAUACAAGGAUGAGCGAGUGUUGUUCAGCUCGCAGCAUUUGGAGCCGGAGCUCAGCUUCCCUUAUUUGAUGGUCGUUUGGUAGGCGUCGCCAAAGGGCAAAGAGGAUCCUCUGGCGUUCGUGGAGUUGGUCCUCAAUGCGAUUGAUUUGUUCUCCAAGUUGAGCAAGUCUUUGUACCAUAGCCAUAAAAUUAUUUACUUUGGACCGAUGCAAUUCUCUUCUAAAAUUUUCAGGGAACACUUUUCAUCUGCACCCAAAUGUUUCAUCAUAAUUUUAUUGUAUACACACUUGCUUCAACAGCUAUCACGGCUCACUCUUUUUGUUAAAUAUUGUUGUUGCCAUUAAUUUUGACAUCUUUGACGUUAAAAGACAACUUUACCCUUAUUUAUAUUUUUUAAUGCAAAAUUGCCAAAAAAACCACAACACCAAUUUCUAAUUCCAAUUGACUUGUGGGGAUAUUAAAAUUUAAUUUUGGCAUCUUUGACAUUAAAGAGAUAAUUUUACCCUUAUUUAUAUUUUUUAAUGCAAAAUUACCAAAAAAACCACAACACGAGUUUCCAAUUCUAAUUCACUUGUGUGGAUAUUAAAAUUUAUUAAAGGUUAGAAAAAAAGUAAAAAUGUUUUGUUCAAAAUAUCCCCUUUGCCAUCAUCCAUAAACGUCCAUUCUUCAUAACAAUCUAGUAAACUUGGAAAAAGCAAGAUCCCAGUCAAUCAACCAGCCAAAAUUCUUCAUAAAGUUUAGCUUUUCUUAAAAAAUUUUAAAUCUUGAGUUAAAAAUUUUAAUUCUUGAGACCCUAAAUUAAUUGAUAAUGAAAGUCACAUGUUUCUAUAACAAAAAUCUUCAAGAAUAACAGUACAAUGAAAAUCUUCAAGUAAAUAAAAAUCUAUAUUCAUAAUAUUUAUGAAUAAAUUGUAAAUAAUAUAGAGUGGUUUAUAAUUUUAUAGUGUAUUCACUAAACAAGAAUCGAAAUUAUUUGGAAACAUAACGAGUUAGAAUCAGAAUAUAUAGAAUCAAAAUAAGAAAUUGGAAUCAGAAUAAUUUAUUUACUUGAACUGCAGGAAUCGUAAUUAGAAUGAGUCAUUUACAUGUUUACUUUGUCUUAAAAUCAAAAUUGGAAUGAGUUAAAUUGUAACAAAUUACUAUAAAAUCCAUAAUUAAUUUUUAUCAUAAUAAUUAAUUUUUAUUUUAAUUAUUGUGAUUAUUAUUAUUAUUAAUAAAUUAAUUAUUAACAAUAAUUAUUGUUAAUUAUUAUUAUUAUUAAAAAGUUAACUAAGAAUUUAUUAUUAAUUAUUGUUAAUAGAUUAAUUAAUUAUAAUACUUUUUAUUCUUGUUAUUAAUAAUAAUAAUAAUAAUAAUCCAUUUACAAUUUAUAAUUAUAUUUAUAAUUAAGUGGAAAUUAAAGUGGUAGGGUCUCAACCAAAAUGUGGCACGAACACAUUUAUCCAACAGCAAGAUUUUUCGAUUGCCAUCCCCACUAAUUUGGUGUAAUGACUAAGAGUUAAUUGAAAAAUAUAUAGUUUAAUUUUACAUUUAAUUUUUUUUCUUUGUUGUAUUAAGAAUUAAUUGAAAAAUUAUUAUAUUCCCUUAAUUUUACCAGAAUCCCGUUGACUUAGACCCUAGUCUCUUGAUUAAAGCGUUUUCAAGUUCAAAGAUUCAGAUAACUCACUCGAUUAUAGGGCGUCUGCACCUUACGCUCGCGUUUGUUGUGAUGCCAGUAGCUGCUGUGACUGUGGCUGUCGUUGUCGAUUGUACUUGAAUUUUGCAGGAGAGCUUAAUAUCUUGUUUAGUAAUUAAGUGUUGUAUCAUUUAUUGUUAAAAAAUUAUAUUAUAAAAUAAAAAUUAAUAAUAAGUAAUAAAUAUGAUUUUUAAAAAUUAAUUUUCAUUAUAUAUUGUCAUUAAAUAAAUAUAAAAUUAAUUUAAUUUAACUGUAAAAUUAUAAUAAUUAAUAUUUAUUGAAUACUUUAGUAUUAUAACUUUUAAAAUUAUAAUGGACUAACUUCAAUCCCAAAAGAACCUGAAAUGAUUGUGGAGAUCGGGAUUUUCAAUUUCCUUUCUUUUUGGAACUAGUUUGGGAUUGUCCAAACACGCUAUGGUAUGCGUUUGACAUGGAGAAGGGGGGACAAAUCAAUUUUGUUUACUGCAAAACCCUAAAAAUAAUUAGUCAACUUGCGUAUACCCCUUUUGGACCCAUUUUGUCAGGAAAAAGAAAUUGUGGACCAUUUGCACUCUAAAUUUAACUUUAGAUACUGGUAUUUUAAUAAAUUUUUAUAUUAUUAAAUUAACCUUAAUAUAAGGAUCCAGCUACGGUACACAUGUUGUAUGGUAUCCCGCAUUUUGUUCAUAUAUGACUUUGCCUUUAAAUGUAACAUAAAACUUGCAUCAAUUGCAUAGAUGUAUUCUCUUUGGUUAUUAAUAUUGACACUCCUAUUGUUUUUCAAAAAAAUAAAAUGGUGAAAGGUUUGACACAUAAUUUUAGAUUAUUUUUAAAUUUUUUAUUUUUAUCAAUUGAUCUACUUUAUUAUUAAAAUUAAUGACAGUAUAAGAGCAAUAACUUGAAAAAACUAAAACAAAAGGAAUUACAUGGUCACCGUCUGGAACUGGAAAUGUUUUGAGUUUACUUAUCCUUUUGGUUCGCACCGCCCACGAAGCUUCAUAUUCCUACGAUAUGUCUUUUUUUUUUAAAAAUAAUAAUUUAUAAUCUGACAGCUGGAACAAAGUUUCGACUUUCGAGUGGGCAAAACGCAAAAACUACCACGACUACUUGAACAACUUCGUUACAUUUAGACAUUUAUCAUUUAAUCAGAGUUUGAUGAGCAGCGUUGAAGGAAAGUUUAUAGAAAUAACCCUUACUUUUUUUCUAUUUUCGAAUAGCAAAUAAAAUUUCCCUUUUUCAGUUAAACAGUUUCAAGUCUAGUAUUUACUGUUUGAAGGAGAAAAUUAUGGUGUAACGGUGGUACCGUGCUACUGUUGUACUCACCCGUUGGAUCUCAAUGAAUCCACUCAUUCAAGUGGAUUCAACGGCUGAAUGCAACAGUGGCACGAUACCACUGUUGCACCGUAGCCGGACCUCUAUUUCAAUUACACAAACAACAUGUAACUGUUUUAUAUAUACCUUUUUCUAGCGGGUUCAAAAAGUUUCAACCUUAUGGAAUGGCACAAUCUUUGUAUAUUAUUAUUUUAAUUAAUAACAAGAUUACUGAUCCUGUGUGCCCGGUAAACACUACUGUGAUUGAGGAAAAAGCGGUAUUGCUAUUGCUGUUUCUUACCAAAGGCCUUGAUAAAUAAACCAUUUCUUCACAUCAAACUAAGGCACAAGAGGUAUAAAGCCUAGGUGUAGGAGAGAAAGCUACAACAUAUAUGACACAAAAUCAAUUUGGAUGGACCUUGCUAAUCACGUCUGUGAAUGAAGAAGAUUCACCUCGAUGCCAUAGGAGAGCAAAUUAUUAGGGGGCAGGAUGGACAUGUCACAUGGUUAAGGGGGUCUCUAAAUCCCGAAGGGUACAAAAACCUAUGCUUUGAAGCUCACCUCACUAUCUAAAAUCAAAUAUGACUUGAAUGCGAAAUUACGUGUGCGGUAAGUUCUUAUUUGGGAAACUGUGUUGUGCGUCCCACAAACUCCAAAUGGGAGCUUGCCGCAUGUUCAAUCGUGCUUAUAGAGUGUGUCCGCAUGCAUCUAAUUGAGAUCUUAUUUACAGUAUAAUACACUUCUAAAAAUUUAGAUAGCAAUAUAAAACUUUACAACUAUAAUAUUCAUUGAUAAUAAAUUUAUUUAUUAUGAUUGUUCUCGUUGAAAACUCCUCAAUGGAAUUUUAUGAGUCGAAAAUAACGUAUGAUAGUUUAACUACCAAUAUAAGAAAAAAUAUAUUUUUCAAUAUACAAAACUAGGUUAUUGCUUAAUUUGCUUUUAAAAUCUUUUAAUAAUAACAAAAAUAUUCAUAUAUUGCAACACAUAGAGCAAACAUGAAUGCAUUAUAAAAUUAUAGAUUUUAAAACUAGACAAAAGAUUAAUCAAAAAAUGAAAAAUUAGAAUUAUGUAGACUUACAACUUAUGGGUCAUUGUUGAAAGACUAAACAAUUGAUUUUGCUCGAAUAGAAAACAAAAAAAAUAUUAAAGACUAGUCCAUUAACCAUUAUACUAACAUUUUUUAUGAUUGUUUUUUAUUUUAAUAUUUGUUCUCGUGUCUUUAAUUGAAUUUCAUGAAAUGUUAAUUGCUAAUUAAAUUAUUUAGAAUUAGACAUUUAAACGAGGGAUAAUAUGAAAUAUUUUAAAAUUACUAGAGUCACUUUUAAAUUUUACAAUGCAGCUGGGGCAUUUUUCAUAAAUAACAAACAAAAUACAUUUUUUUCAUAUAAUCAUCAAAAAAAAUUUAAAAGCCAGCCAGGGCAUGUGCCUCAGCUGGUCCCAUGCUGAUUCCGCCCCUGUACGUAAGACACACGCAUAUUAUUUUACAAGGUACCACCAAUUUUUGUCUUUUGUGAUGUCAAAUUUCAUUUAACUCCUUAUCUUUUUUGAUUUACGGUUUAUUUAUAACAUUAUAUCCUUUGACAGGUAACUUUUUAAAAUGAAUUUUAUUUAUAAUUUAUUUAUAAGUUUAUAUACUUUGGCUGGUGAUCUGCUCAAAUGUAAUUUUAUUUUAUUUAAUAUUAUUUAUCUUUCUAAAAGAAUAAAUAUACAAUAAGCCUGUGACUAGAUAAUAUUAAAUAAUAUUUUGAAUAAAAUAAAAAUAUUAAAAAUUUAUUCUUUUAAAUAAAAUAAAUAAUAUUAAAAAAUAAUAUUUAUUUUUUAGGACUCACAAUUGCUUAUUCUAUUUUAUUUAAUAUUAUUUAAUUUUUAAAAAUAAAUAUAAUAAUAAGCUUGACUAAAUAAUAUUAAAUAAAAUAAUAUAAAUAUUAUUAAAAAUAAUAGUAAUUUUUUUAGACUCAUUACUGAUUAGUUCAUUUUAUUUAACAUUAUUUAGUUUCAUGAAAGAAUAAAUAUAAUAAUAAGCCUUUGACUAUAUAACGUUAAAUAAAAUCAAAUAAAUAAUAUUAAAAAAAUAUUUUUUUUAUAAAAUAAAUAAUAUUAAAUUUUUAUUCUUUUGAAUAAAUAAAUAUAUUUUUUAAGACUCACAACUGAUUAUUUAUUUUAUUUAAUAUUAUUUAGCUUUUUAAAGAAUAAAUAUAAUAAUAAGUCUAUAACUAAAUAACAUUAAAUAAAAAUUAAAUACUAUAAAUAAUAUUAAAUAAAAAUUAAUUAAUAUUAAAAAUUAUAUUUAUUUUUAAUGCUCACUACUGAUUAUUUUAUUUUAUUUAAAUAUUUAGUUUUUUGAAAGAUUAAAUACAACAAUAAGCCUGUAACUAAAUAAUAUUAAAUGAAAUGAGAAUAAAUAAUUUUAAAUAAUAUUUUUUAAUAAAUAAAUGAUAUUAAAAAUUAAUUUUUAAAAUAAAAAAAUUAAUAUUAAAAUAAAUUUAUUUUUUAAGACUCAAUUAUAAUUAAACAACAUAAAAUUUUAAACAAUUUGGACUUAUGUGCUAAAAGUUUUAAUUAUUUAGCUCUUUUGCAUUUUUGAUAAAUAGCAAGGAGCAUAAUGUUAAUAUUUAAAUAAACGAUUCACUACCCUUAAAUCUAUCUUUUCAUUGAAUCCAAUGAUCAAAAAUUAAAACCAAUGACCAAGAAUUGAAACUACAAAAAAAUAAAAUCAUAUGGUAUCUUACAACUGUUGUAAGAUAAUUGAGUCUUUUAAUUACACGUGUUAUUUGGAACUUGUUAAAUUGGUCCCUUGUGGGUCCUCGUGGACUCUAAAUUAGCCGUACACCUUUUAAAUAGAAAUAAGUGCAUUACAAUUUUUUUCUAUUUUACUUUAUUUUUGAAAUUUUUUGGAAAAAGUGAUGACUCAUGAUAAUAGAAGAAGAAGAAUAGUAGGAUACAUGUAAUAUCGGUUUAUACUUUAUAUCACUUUUUACUUCUUUCUUUGAUUUUUUUUAAAUUUUUUAUUAUACUUUUUUGUGUCUUUGGGGUCCAAAUAUAUUGUGUAUAAAUAAAUAACGUGGCUUCUGAGUUUAUGGCAAUUUACCAAGCGUUAAUAAUGCUUGAUGAAAAUGUUGCAAUCAGGUAGGGCGGACACAUAUAGAGAUUAUGAUCUCUUAAUCAGCGGUGUUCGUGAAAUGUAGCCAACUGCUAAUUCGGUCGGAGACGAGGGAUAUCUAGUGCAACCAGAAGUUCAUAAUUGUUUUAAAUCAUUUGAGAUUAUUGCGGAGUGCAACGUGUCGUUUGUUAAGAGAAUUAAAAUGAGUCAAAAGGUUUAAGAAAUAAGCUUUGGCUGCUUGGAAAAACCGCUUUCGAGCCUCCACAAAGUAUUGUAGGGCUUAAAUUCUUUUCAAUUAUGAAUAGUAAUUAAGUGAAGACAGUUUUCUUUUCAAUAAUUACCUAAUUAUAAAUUUAUCAGUAAAAAUUUCAUUUAAUAUGAAUUGUAAUAUAAGAAAAGAAAAAAAAAGUAUUCACUUAUGAUAAUAUUCUUAUUUGUAAACGUGUCCUGAGAAUUGAGAUGAUACAUGAUCGUCAAUGUCAUAUACUAAUUGAAAGAGUAGGUUUGCGAGGGCCUGCCGUGCUAAGCAUGGGUUUUCAUUUCCCUUAACCGCUUGAAAUGAAGCAUGAGGGAAAGAUCUUAUUCCACCUAUGUUUUAUUAUUAAUAAAUAAUUUUUUUUUUAUCUAUUAACCAAUAAUUAUCGGAGCGAGUUUUACUCAAGAGAACUUCAAUAAUAAAAAAUGUUUGAUCUCACUGAAAUGACAAGUUAUUUAAGGUUAUUGAAAAUCUAAACAAAAAUUACUUUUAGGAAAAUGCUAAACGAAGAGAAUGGCGUGAGAACGCAACGUGAUAAUAUUAAAUGUAUAGUAAAUGUCAACUUUUAGCAUUUUCUCUUUCUCACCACGAGUAGCUUUUGCACGACAGAAAAACAAAACAACGUUCAUCACAAAGCUAAUUUUUCUCUCACCCAACGUGAAAAUCACUUUGGCUCAUUUAUUCACCAACGACCACCGAAUAGAUCUAGAGUAGUAGCAAGUGAGGGAGAGGAGUAGUAGAUCUGGAGUACUAGCGAGCGAGAGAGAGGAGGAAGAGGAGGAGGAGUAGCGAGUGAGGGAGAUGAGUAAAUCUCAACAUUAUUUUUUUCUUUCAUACUAGCCUUUUAAGGUUAUAAAAUUCUUUUGUUUUUAUUAACAAGAAUGCUGAAAGCUGCUACUGAAAGAAACGACAUUACUGUAUGUCAUUUCUCUCGGCAUUCUUGGUAAUUAAUUUAUAUUUGUACCACUCUAUUAAUUUACAACUUUGCCAUUCAUAUAAAUAAAUUUAAAAAAAAAAAGUAAAAUCUUAGGUCCAGCCUGAAUGGGCUCACAUUUAGCACUACUCUUACUUUUAUGCUAUCGCAUGAUAUCGUGUAGGGACGGCAAAAUACAGGUUUGGUCUAAGCUUGGAAGGCCAAGCCCAUUUCACGAGAGGCACAACAGGCUAGACUGGUCAAGCCUAAUGUGAGCCCAUUCAGGCUCAAGCUGGACCUAAGAUUUUACUUUUUUUAUUUUUUUAAAUUUAUUUAUAUGAGUGGCAACGUUAUAAAUUAAUAGUGGUACAAAUGUAAAUAAAAUAGUUGAUUUUUUGUAAACUUUGCAUAAUGACAAUUUUGUAAAAUUUGGACAGGCUGUAGCUCAUCUCAGUCCACACAGCCUCACCACUAGGUAUAAACAUGGAGAACAAUUUAUAAAUCCACCAAGCUAAAUUAAAGUCAAACACUUGACAUUAAGAAAUUUCUAAUAAUCUUAGAAAUAAACUAGUCGAUAAUCACUUGAGAUCAUUUCCUCACCCCAUAAUCCAUCAAUUAACUGAGAAAUGACAACUCACCAAUUAGUUUUUCAUCAGAACUCAUAACACAGAACUUACCCAUUCACAUAAUAAAAACAUUGACAUUAAUGAGAGAGUAGCUUAAUCAAAUAAUAAUCCAUUAAUAAAAUGAAAAUUAACAACUUGUACCUUCAUAGAUGAUUCUUGUGCACUUGACUUUCUAAGUAAAGAACGUCACUAUUCUUUUCAAGAAGGCAGCCACCACAAAGCAUAGAAGCUUCUUCAUAUAAUAGUACAACAAUCAAAACCUGAAACAUACGCAUCAGUAUUAAUUUAUUAUAAUUUAGCAGCAGUAAAUAUUUUUUUUCAAAAGUUAUCUGCAGUAAAUAUAAGAAUAACAAAGAAUAAAAUCUUAGAUCAACAACAGAGAACCUAAACUCUACAACUUGCUUGAACUACUAUCAACAUCAUACCACAUAAUCAAAUAGACAAAAUAGUGUAAUAUAUAAUUUGUAUUGACCUCCAUACUAUCACGUAAAAAAUAUUGUAUUAAAAACAAAGGGUAAUUUUUAGGGACCUCCCCUGAGGUUUACCGUAUUGACACAUAGAGAGAAUGUAUCCACGUAAUUACAACCACCUCCCCUCCCGUUAGUAUCCGGUUAGUUUGACUGUUAGUUGACUGUUGAAAUUACUAAAUUACCCUUCCCGCCAAAAUUAUAAGUUAUAAAAUAAGAGAAGAGAACCGAUAAGUAAUAAACUUAACGCUAGAAUCACAAAAGCUAAAAAAAGACCAAAUUACCCAUCUAUGUGAUGUGAUUUCAUUUACAUUAUUUGUUAUUAAAAAAACAGAAAAAAUAAAUUAAAGCUGCCAUUAUUACCGUUGUAAGUAAACGGUAAUAUUUUGAGUAGUAGCAGCAACUAUAAAAGGCCUGGGCAAGUUAGCAAAUGACCAUAGCAGAAUUUCAUCUUCAUCUUCUUCUUACGAUUUUAAGUCAUCAUCCAUUCAACUCUUGAACAGAAGCACUCAUCAUCAUCAUUAAAAGCAUUCAUCAACUCAUCAAAGGAAGCAUUCAAUUCACGACAACAGAAGCAUUCAUCAUCAGCAUCAUCAGAAUCAUUCAUUUAGUUCAUUGACAAAAGCAUUUAUUCAUCAAUUUAAGCAUUCAUCCAACUCACCAACAGAAGCAUUCAACAUAAUCAAGAUCAAACACUAUCUCAACCACAUGGAUUCUGAAAGCUCAAACACAUCCAGCCGAUCAAAUACACAACCAAUUUAUGAGCCAACUUGGAGGAACUUUGUUAAUGGGAGGCUGAUUAAGUUUUCAAAUCGAAUAUGUAGAUGUCGUAUGAGAGCCAAGGUGAUGAUAUCUGAAUCGGAUGAGAAUCCUCACAAGCUUUAUUAUAGAUGCCCGAACAUAACAACAUGCGGAUACUUCAAAUGGUGGGUUCCAGCAAGGGAUGAUUUCAACAAUGGAGCUGUGUUUGAGGGGAAUUUAAGUGCUAUUGUGCAUCAUGAUACCCUAAAUGCUAUUCAAUCAAAUCUGAAAGAAGUGAAGACUAUUAUGAAGAAGCUGCAAAGGUCAGGAUUUGGUGAAGGUGUUGUGAAGAUGAUUAUGUACUUGAACCUAGUUAUGUUUGUGCUGAAUUUAAUUAUGCUUAAGAACUAAUAUGCCUAAGCUAUCCUAUGUUUGCAGAAUGCAGUGAAGUGUAAAAUAUAGUGAUUUUUCUGUGUAAUGUAUUAAUGGAUAAAAAAGAUAAUGCAUGUGACAAUAAUCUAUUAUACAAACUGAUAAUAUUUAGCAUAGUAAGCGAAUAACACAGCACAAGCUCCUGUCCAUAAUUCAGCAAGCACACACAAUAACAAUAAUUUAUAAUUACAAGCUCUUGUCCAUAAUUCAACAAGCACACACAAUAACACAGCACAAGCUCCUGUCCAUAAUUCAGCAAGCACACACAAUAACAAUAAUUCAUAAUUACAAGCUCCUGUCCAUAAUUCAACAAGCACACACAAUAACAAUAAUUCAUAAUUACAAGCUUCUGUCCAUAAUUCAGCAAGCACGCACAAUAACACAACACAAGCUCCUGUCCAUAAUUCAAUCCUUAAAUAGAAUUACAACUAGUAAAUCCCUGAGCAAAAGUAUAAUAACAAUUUCAAGCACAUAACAAGCUUUUGUUAAAACUAACACUAUGAAGCACACACAACAACUCCUAUCACACAGGACAGCCGGUAAAUCCCUGAGCAAAAGUAGAGAUACAAUACAAAUUCAUUCUCAAACUGACAGUAUCAAGCACAAUAAACACAUACAGCAAGUCUCACUUUGUAAUAUCAAGCACAAACAAAGCAAAUUCUAUUGUUUCAAGUGACAGUCGCAAGCACAACAAACACACAAAGUAAGAAACCACGGCAGUAACUAAGUAAUGAAACUACAUAAACUAAAAUCAAUAAAGAACUAUGUAAUAAAACUACAUAAACAUUACUUGUGACUAUAAAUUAUAAAUUCAAAUGCAUUCCAGCAACAAUAAAGUGUCACAUGUCAUUACUGUCGCUACAUUAAUUUUUUCACCAGCUACCACAGCCUCUAUCUCCAUGUAAACAUGACUGCAAGUUAUAAAUAAUAGCACAUGGUAAGCAAAUAACAGCAAAAUCGUAACUAGAAUUGUAUAUUUAUAUAAUAAGAAACAAAUGUAUAUUUAUAUAAAAUUAAUAUAUCAUAAGGGAUGUUAGCAGAUGAACUUUAGUUGACCCCAACCAAAUUAUUAAACUGCAGUUAUCAUUAAUGCAUGCUUGGGCAUUUACAUGCCUUUCGAAAGUUUGUUGCAGAUGGUGAUUAUUCGAUCAUGAGUUGAAACACUUAUAAAUCCAUAACUAAGUUCAUCUACUUGCCAGAAAUCAUUUUGAUUGAUUAGUAACUUAUAACAAGCUUAAUUAACACUAACAGGGGAUGUGGAUGCUCUUUAAUCUAUAUAUAAAUGGGCAACUCAAAGUUAAAAUUUCAUAAAAAAAUCCUCUCAAAUUUGUCGGCUGAAUUAAUUUCAACAAAGUGGUCACUCGUAAAAUUAGAGACGGCCUUAAAUUUACAGUGACAUGUGCAUGCAAAGAUCUUUUAAUCUUUCUUUGAGCUGGGCUUUUAAUCCAUUGAUUGAACAUGGAAUCAUCGUCAUGCUUUGCAGACAACUUUACAAUUUCUUUUUCUUUAUUAUUUUUUUGAGUCUCAGGGUUGGUGGAAAUUGAAACGAAAAACCCAUUUUCAUUUUUAUUAACGCAAAAUCGUCCCACUCAUCUAUUGCAUCUGUUGCAUCUGAUUUAUAUCUUUAAAUUGUAAUAAAUGAGGAUUACCUCUUUUUCGCACCAAUUCCAGUUGCGAUUGAAGGCGUUCGUCGCCGGUACUUAGUUCGUUGCGCACUUGCGCCACCACCAGAGCUCAUCUCGUUACCUCUUUUUUGCACCAAAUCCUUAAUGAAGCUCUCCUUCACAGCUACAUAAAGAUGAAGAUGUUGUUCGGUGUUGUUUACGUGAAAGAGGAGGCUAAGUGUAACAUUCAUUUCGUGAAAAUUUUUAUUUGCUUUUGUCCACUGGUUAUUGCAGAGCACUGGUUAAUGGAGUAAACUCUUACAAUUUUCUCAGGCGUUCAUCCUCACAAAGCUGCACUUUUGAAUUCUUUUGAAUUUUAAAAGGCAAUUUUACAUAUUUACCCUCACAUACUGAUGCCAUACGUAACCGGAUACUAACGGGAGGGGAGGUGGUUGUAAUUAUGUGGAUAUAUUCUCUCUAUAUGUCAAUACGGUAAACCUUAGGGGAGGUCCCUAAAAAUUACCCUAAAAACAAAUUAUAAAUUGUUUAGUGAUCACAAUGGAUCCUGGAAAUGACAACAACUACAUUAUUAUAAUGAGUUUGACAUGUCAUUGUACAUGGAUUCGUUAUGAUGAAUCAUGAAACACCGUUGAGUAGUUAAUUCAGCCACUUUUCACCUAUAAAUUCGAUGGCAUACUUUGAAUACACAACAUGGUUAUAAAUAAAAAUUUAGAGAAUUUUUGUGGGAAAGAAUAAUUUUAUUGACAAAAGAUUAAGUACAAAAUUAUAACAUCUCCAUUUUUAAUAUAGCUGACAUAAGUUAUUUGAGUUAAAAAAAAAAAAAAGAGGGAACUUAGAUACGCCAUAUUAAAUAGGGCAGUAAUAAAAAAAAAUCUAAUUAACAAAAAUUAUUUGAGCAAAUGACAAAUAUUCGCUAAGAAACUCUUUUUCAUUUUUUUCCCAAAUAAUAAUCAAUGUUUUUUUCCACUACGCAUUGAAAGAGCUCGCAUCGACAUCAAUCAUGAACCAGUCGUGGCCUAUAUUGCCUGCAUUAUGAAUACCACCUAUGACCUUUAGAGCCUAACCGUUUAUCUCAGUCUAUUUUUAAUACUCAGUCACAGGUCCAGACCAUUCAAGUUCAGGACAUGACCCUACUAGUCCCAUUAUAUAUCUAUUUAAAUUUCUUUUUUUUAGAAUGUCUAUUUAGAUUUCUUAAAUUUAAAAAGCAAAUCAACAUCUAGCCCUUAAAAAAAAAAAUCUAAAAUCAACAAAGCUAUUAUUUUGAAGAUAUUUUGAAUUCCAAUUCCCAAUUAAAAUCAUGAAUAUAUCAGCUAUAUCAUAGCAUCAGCAUAACUAGUAAGUGGUGACAUCAAAUUUUCAAAUAUUUGGAACUGGAAGCAAAUAUCUAGUUAAUGAUUAAAGUAGCUGACGAAUAAAACCUCUUGUAUUAUCAUAGAGGCUGCCCCAAUAGCUUGCAAUAACUAUGGAUGGUGCAGUAAAGUUUCAGGAUAGAUGAAUAAACUAAAAAGCAAAAGAGAAAUAUCAGUUGCAGCAAGAACUACGUCAUCUCCACCUCGAUUAUUAUUCAAAUAUUAACACCAAAUGGCACUGAACAGCACAAGAGGAAGCAUCAUCCAUAUUUUAAAUGUAUCUGAAUAGCAUAAAUAUGAAAAUCAUUGCAGAAAGUAAAAGAAAAGAAAAAAGUAAAGAGAAAUUUAUCUCACAGCAUUCCUAUUAUUAAAAAUGUGCUCCGAGAUAUAACUUCAUGCACAUUCAGAAGUUCUCAGGCCAAAGAACAUUAUAGCAACUACAAAAACUCAUGAGCCGGCAGGUCUUGUCCCUGUACAAGGUGAAACAACUAAAAUUAUGCUUUUAAGAACUUUGCAAUAACUAAAAUUAUUACUCAAUACAUAUAGAAAACUUGGGCUCUGGAUACCUAUUUUCCCAAAUCUUGGGGUCUGUUCUUUUCUCCUAAUCAGUGAGGUGCAUGUAAAAUAUAUAUACACAGAGAGAUAGAGAGAGAGAGAGAUUAAUUAGUAUACAUUCCAUUGGUAGAGUUUCUAGCUUAGAAUUUAUAUCACAGGAAUUGCAUAUUGAAUUGAAUACAUAUGAGUGUGUAUUUUUAUUGCGGAGUCUAAUGAUAGAAAGCAGGCUUCAUUCAUUUUCAACAACAAGCAUUGCAAAGUUCAAAAUUUAUAUCACGGUUCAAUCAAUAGGGGAAUUCAUUUCCCAUCAAAACAUAGCAUGUGACAAGAAUGAACUCUAUAUAUAUGUAUAUGUGUGUGUGUGUAUAUAUAUAUAUAUAUAUGUAUGUAUAUAUGAACACAGGAAGAAAAUUAUUUCUAUCUGAAAAUCGAGAUCACUCAACCAAACAAUGGUACCUUCCAAUCUACCUAGUGUAUGUAUAUAGGCAUCCACUGAUUGAUACUUUGAAUUUAAUUAAUAAAUCAACUUCAGGUGUCAUGUUUCCACAUUAAAUAGAGAGAAUAACAAUUAACUAGAUAUGACAGAACUGGUUAAAAAUUUGCUCAAAAUAUACUAAAAAGAUCAAAUUUUAUUAUUUUUUACCUGCUUUCAUGUCUCUCCAAUGUCAGAUCAUGUCCUCAAGCAACUCUUUCGGCUUUCUUCGCCCAUUUUUCUUCUUUUUACAGCAUGAAGCUAAUACAAAGCCAAAUGAAAAAGUAGAGUAGUCAUUUCAAAUUCAAUUUAAUUGUCAAUUGAAAAGUUCAAUUGUUACCUUCGUCAACUGUAGAAUCAAUAGUUAAUGAAAUAUACAAUGAGAAGAGUAAAUAUUAAUAACGCACCAAUAUUACAAAUCAAUAGCUAAGGAUCAAGUGAAAUUUCACCUGCAAAUUAGGACAGCCGAGGAAGCAUCCAUAAACAUCGGAAUAAUUAUAUCACUGAAAUUUCAUUAGAGUAAAUUAGGACAGCAGAGAAAAAAAUAAACAAAGCAAUUUGCAAAGGACAAUUUUUCACCUAAUUUUUGUUAAAAAUAUCAAAAACUAAAUUGAAUUUUUUGGAGAGUAAUCAAGUUAUUUAUUUAAAAUACAUUUUUAAAUAUUUUUUUUAGAGUUUUGAACAAGACAAUUUUUUGAUAAUUGAAAUCAAGUACCAAAAUAUUUUUUAUACUGUUUUAAUUUCUCACUAAGAGUUAACUACGUAUUUUUUUUAGCACUGAUAUAUUAAAUAUUAUCAUUAAUAUACUUAUAUUUAUUUAAAAAAAAUCAAAACGCUAUUUCCUUAAUAUCAUUUAUGCAACAAAAUCAUCAAGGGAGCUUCUGUCUUUGUACACUAAAAAAUUAUAUAUAGUUAAUUCACUUGGUCAAAUAUCCAAAUAGUUGAAGUUAGUUUUUAUUGUUUAUUUGGUAAUGAAAUGGGUGCUAAGUGAGGUCUGGUAAAGCCUGAAGGAAUAAAUAGUGAUUUUAGAUUCAUGUGGGUGCUUUGAAUUAAUCAUUUUGUCAAGUUUCGCACCACCGACCCCAUUAAUUUCUAUCCGUUGCAUUUCAGUCAACAAAGCCAACGAAUAAUAGCUGCGGGCUGUCACAAUGCCUGUCAGUUACAGUGUUAUAUAACUUAGCCGCGGCCUUAGUUAGACUCAGUUCGAGCUCGUCUAAAUUUGGAGGGGCUUUUGGAGGGUUUGGGCCUGCUAUCAAUAGCUAAGGCUUGACCUGAGCUUGAAAAAGCCUAUCCCAGACUCUUAAUUUGCUAUCAUAGUUAGAAAGAAAUCUUUUGUAUGUCGAAAGAUUGGGUCCAGUUAUGUUACAACAGUGGUACGGUAUCACUGUUACUUUCAGUCAUUAGAUCUUAUUAAUACAACUGUACAAUUAUAGAUCUAAUGGCUAAAAGCAGCAGUUGUACCGUACCACUGUUGCAACAUAGUUUUGGCCUAAAAGAUUACACAAGUGGUGGAUUUUUGUUUCUUGACUAAUGUCUUUUUUGACCAUUUUCGUAUUUUGGUACAACUCAGAAGCGUGGCGCUUUACUCAGAUACUUAUCAUUGUUUUUUAUUCUUUUAUUUUGUCUAAGUUAUUACUGUUCAAUAUUCUCACUGUAAGGUUGACUUCAAGGGAUGAAAUCGUUUAGAUUAAAAAAAAAUAAAGGAAAUUCAUUCUCUUCAAUUUUUUUUUAUUUGUACUAAUGUUACAAAUAAAAUAUUAAAUAAUUAUUGAAACUAGUCUAUAUUAACUCAUAUUCGAGAAAUGUCUAUCUACUUACAUUUUGUAAGGAAAAAGAUUCUCUCCACUUAAUUGAAGAAACAAUUCACCACGGAUGCAAUAAUUAUUUCUUUAAUUUAAUGUAUUUUUCGAGCGUCUGGCUACCUUAUUCCUUUGUGCUUCAGUGGGAUGCAAUAACUUUUGCUGAUAGCCUGAUAGGCCCUACAAAUCAUAAUUUAGCAUAGAGAAAUGUUGUUACAUGUAGGGAUGAUAAAAAAGCUCGGGCCAGCCUUGUUCAUUUCCGUGGGCUUUUGCUGAAAUUUCCCACGUGAGGGCUUGGACAAGAGUUAAAGGAAAAAAACCUGGACUAGGUCUAACCCCUCUAUUUAAAAAAUAAUAAUAAUUUUAUAAAUUAAAAUAAAAAAUGGAAAAAUGAAAAAAGAAGGCUUAAAUCCCAAAUUCAUUUAUCAAUAACGAUAAACAAAAACUUAAAAUUAUAAUACUAAACUCUUUUUUAAGUGUUAAUUAAUUAAGAGAGUACUUGAAUUAGAAAAUUAAGUAUUAGAAAAUUAAAUCUCUAAAUUUUUAUUUGCUUUAUUUAAUAUUUUAUUUUGAAAUAUUUAUUUUUUUAAAUUCAUUGUUGAUUAUAACAAUUUGAUGAUUAUUAACUCAUUUUAAGUUUACAACAAUUUAAAAAUUUUGAAAAAAAAGUGAAAGCCCAAGCUCGGCCCAGCUCCACAUGGGCUCGGCCCUUACAUUUCCACUCUAAUGGCUUUGGGCUUGGGCUUGAAAAAACAGAACAUGCUCACAUUUUGCUAUCCUUGCCUGCAUGUAAGUUCAAAGUUGCAAAUUGAUGAAGUGGAAAUAUAGAAGAUUGAUAGAUUAGAAACUAAGUUUCUGAAUAAUGAAAUUUUAUUAGAAAAGUCUGAAUGAAUAAAACGAUAGCUUACCCCUUUUCUACUAAUCCCAAACAUCGAGAAUUUAUCAAAAUAGUAAAAUUUAAAAUAUUAUUUUAUAAUAAAAUUCUCCUAAUCUAAAUAAGAAAAACAAAACAAACGACAUCUAAUUUUGAUAUUUAAAAAAAUAAAAUUCUAAAAAUAAUAGAAAAAUAGAAAAACAACUUAAAACUGCAAAAAGACCAAAAAAAGAAGUAGAAUUUUUUACUUAAUUAUGGAGCAAGACAAGGCAAACAUUCUAAGUUUGAUUAGUCUCGUCGUAACUUUUGAAAUGAUAUAUUAUAUGCCUAAAAUGAACAUAUAAAGCCCAAGUUAUAACUCCUAAAAGAUACCUCCUUCAUGAUGAUCCUACGCAACUAUCUUACGUCGAAAAUGAAUGCAAAAGUUACAUUUCAAAUUAAAUUCAAAACAAUCAAUUCAAGCAUUAAUGCUGAGUUUUUUUAACCAAAAUACUCUAAGGAUUUUAUAAAUUGCUUUCUAAUUUUAUUUUGCAAAACACACCAAAUCAAAGUGAUUUUUCUCUUUUCUCUCAAACAAUUUCAACAUUUUGUAAUAGAGCUGAUGACAGGCAUUAGUAAACAAUGUGCAAUAGUAAUGCACAACAAUAUAGAAAAGCAAAUUGGUAAAGUGUAAACUAUGAAAUGAUAAAAUAGAGCCUUUUUUUUUUAAGAUCACAUGUUAAGUUAUUGGCAUAUUUUGUCAGGAUCAUAUACUUUUUUAGAUCUACGUGCUUUUGGUCAAAUUUAAUAUAAUCAAAAGUUUAAAACUGAAGUCCAUAUUCAAUAAUAAUAAACUAAUAAUAAUAGAUAAUGUAAUACUGACUAUUAAUUUAGAUCCUACGAUAUUAAAAUUCUUUUUUAAUACUUAAUAAAAAUAACAACAAUAAUAAGUUUUUUUUAAGGGUUAACUUAAUUGUUAACUUAGACUUACAUUGAGUCAUAAAUCAUAGUUUAUAACAACAUUAAUGCAUAUAUUCAUAAAAAUCAUGAUAUUUAUAAUUUAUUUAUUAAAAUCAUGAUAUCACCUAUUCAUUUAACAAAUUAUAAACAUAAAACAAUUAGAUUUUUUUUAAAUUAAGAAUUAAAUGAAUCUAAAAAACUUAAGCUAAUAAAAUGCAUUAAAGAUUCAAUUUCAAAUUUUUUUGCAAAAUUAUAAUUAUUCGUAAAAUUAUAAAAUUUCAAGUUUACUUUCAUUAAAAAGUUUUUACCUUAAUAUACUUUGACUCGCAUGUUAUUGAUAACGCAUAAGCCAUGUGCUAAUCCUCCAGUGAAACAUUUUUAUUGCGGUCCUUUUCACGUGCUGUGUUUUAGCCUAUCUUUAAUCAUAUCAUGCUUUUAAGGUCCACUUGCCUAAAAUUCUCAACUCAGCCCAGCCCACGUGCAUGCCAUGCCUCGUCGCUUACCCUACCAAAACGUCCUUGUGCCGUGCCACGCUAAACGGAUAUGUGUCGUGCAUGUGUCGUUCCACCUGUCACCUGGCCCAUUAGUCAUCUCUAGAAAACACCAUAUAUUUAUUUAGCGUGUUGCAAGCACUGUGUCGCAAGUUGCUCAAAUUUCCCGCAAACGGAGGCUAAAUUAGCGCGCACGGGUACGCUCAGUAAAAGUCUGCCCAAUAACGGGAUGCACUCAACAGCAAGGUGCGCUGAGCGAUGGGCUGCCUCAUAUAACUAGUGAGUUAUGGUGCACUUAGUAAGUGAAUAGCCCAUAAUCAACAAGCCUAGCCCAAUUUUCAGAUUUCUCUACACCUUGUAAAUGGCUAGAUUUUUAGGCAAGUUGCAUGAACUCUCUAUGAAAUAAGGGUGAGCACCCACUAUUUGCUCACCACCACACCACACACACAACACCUAGCAACUCAAAAACUCUCGUAAAAAUCUCUCUUAUAAUUUCUCUUUUGUGAGCAAUAAAAUAUUCUUUAGCCAUAUUGCUCUCUUCUCUCUAGCAGUAUUGCAAACAUCCUUACUUGGCUAGUUUGAGAAACUCUUUAGGCUUACUUAACAACUUUUGUACUAGAAGUUAUGUAAGUACUGCACGGGGUUGUUGUGCAAAAUAGUCAUCUCGUGACAACCGGCUUAGUUUUGCUUUGCACAUUUGCGCCCACAAUAAUAAAAGCCAAAAUAAGAUAUCAAAAAAUGUUGGGAUUUGACAUCAAGUAGAAGAGGUUUUGCCCACUCCAAAAUCAUCAAAAUGAUUAAUCAUCUUCUAUAUAACCUGAUGAUUUUUUUAACCUUUGAGAAAGCAACCACAGAGGUGGAACAAACUUCUACUCCUGGGACCUGACAUACGGUUAAUGAAGAAGGGUAAUUUCGUAAAAUUCCAAUCAAAAUUAGAAAAAAGGCAAGCCAUAUUCAAAAGUCAAUCUUGAUCAAACAAACGGCAGGAGGGACAUCUGUAAUUACAGCAUUUUCGAGGAAUUGUUUCUAAAAAUAACUAAAACGGGAAAACCCGAAUGGGAAAAUUGGAAAGCGACAAACACGAAAGUUCAAAGUUUGCUUGGUUGGGCUAUGUUCUGCGAGUGGGAGAGACCGAUUGUAGAAAGGGUUUCUUUUUUUCUUUUUUUUUUCAAAUAGACAUAUAGCCACGUGUUGUCUCAUAUAAAAAAUAAUACUUUAUAUAAGUCCUAGGUCAGUUGGGCUGGAAAACAUUUAAAAUCGAACAUAUCAGGCACGUUGUAAGUUCGCAAUUGGAGAAUCAUGUUGUCAGCCCCGCAACCCCCAAAUGGGAACUUUAGAUAGAAAAAUAUAGCAUCGCAAUGAUAAUAUUUAUUAAUAAUAAAUUUACUUAUUACAAUUGUUCUUGUCAAAGACUCUUUGAUGGUAUUUCAUGUGUUGAAAAAAUAUAAAAUAGUUUCAUUAUCAAUACAAUUAAAAACAUAUUUUUUAAUAUAUACAACUAAAUUAUCACUUGAUUUGUUCUUAAAAUGUUUUAAUAAUAGCAAAAAUAUGGAUAUAAUGCAACAUGAAGAACAAAUAUGAAUACACACACAUUAGGGAAUGGCAAUGGGAAGAAUAGGAGAGGGGACCGACAUCUCCAUACCCAUUUUCGAUAUUCUGUAUAUGUCCUCAUCUCCUCCCCAUUCCAUCAGAAUUACUUGAGAAAAUUUUCAUCCUCUCCCCAAAUAAUAACAGGGGAUUCCUGAGAGUCCCCGAUCUCCAAGUAAUUAAUAUAUUUUUAAUUUUUAAUUUUAAUUAAUUAUAUUAAAAUAAUUUUUUUAAUAAAAGUAGAAUUAAGGCGGUAGCUAGCUACCAUAGAAAAUUAGAAAUUAGGUUUUACGAUUUUGCCUUAAUUUUUGUUUUAUUAGAUAAACGUUUAAAAUAUUUAAUGAAUAUUAUAAAUUAAAAAAAAAAUUGGGCCAACAAGAUCCUGUCUGGCUUUUUUUAUGUCCUGAAUAGAUAUUUAAAAUUAUAACUAGUUAAGCAGGCUCAUUAAAGCAUCUGACAAAUUGUUACAUACAACCAGGAUAAUUAGAGUGCUAAUCAAAUAACCCAAAUUAUAGAUUCCCUAAUCAAACAAACAUAACAAAAAAAUUUUGAAAUGCAAUUUUUUUUUUCAGAAAUGCGAAUUGGCACCAAAUAAAAUUGAGCAAAAGCUAAUGCUGUCCUACAAGUUGACAUGGUCCUCCUUUAGCAAGGUUCAAAUAGGGAAGACCAUAGUAAAAAUAAGAGGAAAUAAUUUAACUUUAUCUAUAAAUCCUACAAUUUAGAUGCUAGUAAAAUAACUCCAAUCUGAAGCAUCAAAUGUACAAGAUUCGCCUCAUCAAAAAAAAAAAAAAAAAUGUAUAAGAUUCGUAAGUAAAAACAGGUUACACGAUUAGUUAUUACCUCGAUUACGUUGUAUAUAUUGCAUGGUAUACCUAAUCAGACAAAUAACGUGGACAUGAAGUGAAUAACUUAAUUUGAAUCUUGCUAUUUUAUUUUAUAAUUUUAAACUAAUUAAUUCAUGCACCCACAUUAUGCUUGCAUUAAGUGGAUACAAUACAACAGAAGUAUUCUACAAUCUCUUAUACGAAGAUUCUUAAUUCAUACUCUUAUUGGGGACUCUUUUUAAAAUUGACCUUUUCAUAAUAUUAUUUGUGAAGUAUAUUUUCAAACUAAUUACAGAAUAAUUUUAAAUUAUUGUAUAAACCGAUGAUUGAUAACACCGGGUAGACUAAUGAGACAAAGUCAAAACCAUUAGCCGGUCCAACAGCUCCACUCAUGUUAGCUUCCGUAAAGCACAACUCUAUCGACUCUCGUGACGUCUAGCAUCUUCGUUUAUAAAUACCCCACCUUCAGCCUCUCGACUCUCUCAAGACACUCCGACAGCAAGACUUCAGUUGGGGUGGGAACCGUUGGUGCUGGAAGAGGUGGUAGUCAUGGAAGCAAACAAUAUGGAGAUAUCGGCGGAGGCUGGUGGCCAGCCCCGCCGGAAGCUAUGAAUAUCCUCAACUGGAAUGUUCGGGGUCUGGGGAAUCCCUGAACAUUUCAAGCCUUAAGAAAAAUCCUCCAAUUGCAUGGUGCUCAGCUGGUGUUUUUGUGUGAAACAAAGGUAUCAACCAUGCAAAUGAAUGUGAUUGCAAAUAAGCUGAGUUUUGAGAAUUGCCUUGCGGUGAACUGUAAUGGAAGAGGAGGCGGAAUAGCAAUGCUCUGGAAGUCAGAUAUUGGGGUGCAAAUCAAUUCAUAUAGUUAGCACCACAUUGAUGCCGAAACUCAAAUGCCAAAUGGAAAUCGAAUGCGAGUUACAGGAGUGUACGGACAUCCGGAAACAGGUUAGAAAAAACACACUUGGAUGCUCCUUAGGCGGCUAGCGGUUUUAUCUUCUAGCCCUUGGUUGUGUUGUGGAGACUUUAAUGAAAUUUUACAUCCGGAAGAGAAGAGUGGCGGCAAUGACAGGAACGUGAAUUUAAUUAAUGAUUUCAGAGAAGUUUUGAGAGAUUGUGGGUUAAAGGAUGUCGGGUAUCGGGGGUAUGCUUUUACUUGGAAUAAUGGAAGAUAUGGGAAGGGAUUCGUUGAAGAAAGGUUAGACAGAUUUGUUUGCACAAAAGCUUGGAGUGACAGAUUUGUGGACUGUGAAGCAAGCAACCUGGACUUCGGAUCAUUGUCCCGUGUUGAUGGCUGUUCAAGUGAGAAGGGAGAGCAUGAACCAAAGGGGUAGACAUUCCUCGCGAAUCCAUUAUGAGGAUAUGUGGAGCUCGUAUGAUGUAUGCAAAGAAAUAAUUAAGGAGGAAUGGAGUUGGUUUAGAAACUGGAGCAGUGAAGAUCCAGCCCAAUCCUUUCGACAAGCAACAAAAGUUUCGAUGGGUAGGCUGUUGGGGUGGAGCAAGCUGGAGUUUAAAAAAGCGUGACAGAAAAUUAGAGAAGCUAAAGAAUCAGCUGCAGUAGUUAAAACAAAGAAGGGUGCAAUAUGAAAGUGGUGAGGAAAUUCGGAAGGUGGAGAAGCAAAUCCAAAAUAUUCUCAUGGAUGAAGAAAUCUACUGGAAGCAACGCUUAAGAGCAGAUUGGCUCAAGGAGGGGGACAAAAACACAAAAUUCUUCCACGGCAAAGCGACGGCAAGAAGAAAAAAAAAACAGAAUUUGGGGGAUUGAAGAUAAUUUCAGGAGAUGGAUUGAGAAGCCAAAAGAAGUAGAGCAUGAGUUUUGCAACUAUUUCACCAAUCUUUUUACAUCAACCCAGCCAAGCCAAGAUCAAAUUGCAGCAGCCUUGGAAGGAAUAACUCCGAGAGUUUCAGCUAGCAUGAAUGAGAGUUUGGGGGAGUCGUUUACAGCCGAGGAAGUCUUGGAAGCUUUGAGUCAAAUGUGCCCAACGAAGGCUCCGGGGCCGGAUGGUUUGCCAGCAGUGUUUUACCAAAAGCAUUGGCAUACGGUUAAGGAGGGAGUGCUCACCACUUUUCUGCAUAUCCUCAAUUCACAAGGUACCAUAGGCCCUCUAAACCACACUUACAUUGCUUUGAUACCAAAAAUCGGAAAGCCUAGGAAAGUGACAGACUUUAGGCCUAUUAGUUUGUGCAAUGUUAUCUAUAGAAUUGUAGCUAAAACAGUUGCUAAUAGAUUUAAGCAAAUUUUGCACAAAAUCAUCUCUUCGUCGCAAAGUGCCUUCAUCCCCAAUAGGUUGAUCACUGACAACAUCAUAGUUGGCUACGAAUGUUUGCACAAGAUAAGGCAUUGUAAAGGCAAGCGAAAUGGAUUAAUUGCAUUAAAGCUUGAUGUUAGUAAAUCUUAUGACAGAUUGGAAUGGAAUUUUUUAGAGCAAACUUUGAAAAAACUAGGCUUCUCGCAUCAAUGGAUUAGCUUGAUCAUGAGGUGCAUUAGUUCGGUUUCAUUUUCUGUGUUAAUAAAUGGCUCAGUGAAAGGCUUAAUUAAACCCAAAAGGGGCUUAAGACAAGGUUGCCCCCUCUCUCUGUAUUUGUUUAUUACAUGUGCAGAGGCUUUUUCCUCAUUGCUGCAGCAGGCUGAGCAACAACGACUUAUUCAUGGGCUAUCAUUUGGAAACGAUUUGAAGAUUUCGCACCUUUUAUUUGCUGAUGACAGCCUUGUCUUCAGCAGAGCUUCCAUGGCCGACUGUCAAAAUUUGAAGAUGAUCCUUGAGCGCUACUCCACAGCUUCCGGUCAAAUUUUUAAUUUCGAGAAAUCUUCUCUUUUUCUCAGUGGCAACGUACAUCAAGAUCAAGCUGAGGCAAUUGGGAAUCUCUUUCAGCUCAAUAUUGUGUCGAGACAUGAAAAAUACUUAGGCUUGCCAUCUAUGAUCGGGAGAAAGAGGAGCAGUUUUUUCAGUGACAUCAAGCUGAAGGUUUUCAAUAAGAUCUCAAGCUGGCAGCAUAAAUUUUUUUCUUGCGGAGGGAAAGAAGUCUUAAUCAAAGCGGCUGUUCAAGCCAUCCCAGCCUACGCAAUGAGCGUUUUUAAAAUUCCGAUGGGUGUUUGUGAUGAUAUUAAAAAAAUGGUGGCAAAGUUUUGGUGGGGCUCCAAGAGGGAAGGGAGGAAUAUUCACUGGGCGAAGUGGGAAAAGAUGAGUCAAGCUAAGUGUAAUGGAGGGAUGGGAUUUCGUGAUUUUUCAAGUUUUAACCGAGCCCUUCUAGCAAAGCAAGGCUGGAGGAUUCAGCACUGUCCAGACUCGCUGGUGGCAAGGGUCCUGCAAGCCAAGUAUUUCCAGUCAAAAAAUUUCUUGGAUGCAAAGCUCGGCUCAAACCCUUCAUAUAUUUGGAGAAGCAUUCUGUGGGGAAGGAAAGUAAUUUGCUCGGGCUCUAGGUGGAGAGUUAGCAAUGGUCAGAAAAUUCAUAUUCAUAAGGCUAAUUGGAUCCCACGGCCUUCCACAUUCCAACCAGUGGUUAAGCCAACUUUGCCUUCUGAUGCUAUGGUCUCUGAAUUAAUCAAUGAGGCAAACUGCUGGGAUAAGAAGAGGAUUUAUGAGCAUUUCGACAAAAUGGAUGCUGAUUUAAUUACUAAGAUUCCUCUGCCUCGAAGACCAAGGGAGGAUGAGCUGAUUUGGCAUUAUGAAAAAAAUGGCCAGUUCUCGGUUAAAAGUGGGUACCAAACAGCUCUCCAAAUAAAGUUUCCAGCCAUGCCUUCAAGCUUAGUGGUUUCCAAAAAUGAGUGGAAUAUUAUUUGGUCCCUUGCUUUGCCUCAAAAGAUCAAAAUUUUUGCCUGGAGAGCAGACAAAAACCAACUCCCCUCAGCUGAGAAUCUGUGGAAGAAAAAGAUAAUCCAGGAACCCACUUGCCAAGUGUGUGAAAUGGGAACGAAAAAUGCUUUUCAUGCUCUUGUGGCCUGCAAAUCGGCUGAGAAGGUAUGGAAGCUAAUCCAUUUUGAAGAUGAUAUUCAUGCAGCUCACAAUCAAGAUAUUUUAAGUUUGCUGCAUGCUAUGAAAAGAAUGAGAAGCAGAGCUGACCUGGAGCUGUUGGCAACAAUUUUUUGGGUAAAAUGGAAUGCUAGGAAUCAGUUGCUUUUCAAAGGAAAAAGGGAGAACCCCCAGAUUAUGGUAGCUAAAGUUGAAGCUAUGAUUGCAGCUUAUAAGAGGGUGCAUUCUCCAGCUGAGGCUUGCAGUGAAACAGAGCAGAGUGUACCUUCCCAGACAUGGAAUCCCUCUCAAGAUGGCUUCAUAAAAGUAAACAUUGAUGCAGCUAUCAGCUUCGAAAAGAACAUUGUAGGGCUGGGGGCAGUGAUCAGAGAUGAUUCGGGGCAUGUUACAGCAGUUGCUAUCAAGGUUUCUAAGUUUCAUGGAGAUGUUUCUUAUGCGGAAGCAGAAGCUAUGGAAUGGGGUAUGUUAGUGGCGAGAGAAGCAAAAGUGAAAGCUGUAAUUGUGGAAUCAGAUUCUCAAAGUGUGGUCAGUUUAGUUAACAACAAGCAGGGCAGCAGAUCCGAGAUCUAUUGGGUUGUUUCAGAAAUUCAGAAGGUAGCGGAAAACUUCGAACGUGUUAGUAUUAAGUAUACGCCUAGAUCUUGUAAUGUUAUUGCCCACUCUUUAGCUAAGUUAGCUUUAGAGAAGUGCGAGACUGUUGUGUGGAAGGGUUCAUACCCUUUACAAGUGAUGUAUCUCCUUUCAUCGUUGAUUUAAUUGAAAUCUCUUUUCAAAAAAAAAAAAAAAAAAAAGACACUCCAAAAAAAACUCCAAAGUCCAACAACAACAUUUUACAAUCUCUCUCAAUUUUUCUCGCUUCAGUUUACCAUCCUCGAACACGAACACGAACACGAACAUGAAUUAAGUUAAUUAGUUUAUGGAACACAAACUCAUCAUCAACAUCAUGUCCUAAUUGAAAAAGAAGGAUUGCGAGGGAAACUAAGCAUGUGCCUUCAUUUUCACUUGAAAUAAAGCGCGAUGGAAAGAUCUUAUGUUAUCACAUGAUGCCGUGUGAUCACCUAGAAGCCCUUCCACGCACAUUUCUUCUCAAAUUGUCUUCUUCUAAUUUCUUGGGUCACCGCGAAACCACAAUGUCAAUGCGAGGAUGAGCGAGUGUUGUUCAGCUUGUAGUUUUUGGAGCCGGUCCUGGGCUUUCUUUAUUUUUUUCAUCUUCUGCUGGUAGGCAUCGCCAAAAGGCAAAGAGAAUCCUCUGGUGUUCGUGGAGUUGGUCCUCGAUGCGAUUGAUUUCUUCUCCAAGUUGAGCAAGCCUUUGUGCCAUAGCCAUCAUUAUUUGCUUUCGAUCGAGCACUUUUCAUCUGCAACCAAAUGUUUCAUCAAUAUUUUGAAGUAUACACACUUGUUUCAACAGCUAUCCGGAUCACGUUAAAAGACAAUUUUGCCCUCACUUAAAGUGUAAAAUCACUAAAAAAGCCACAACAGUAGUUUCAAAUUCCAAUUGACUUGGGUGGAUAUUAAAAUUUCUUAAAGGUUAAAAAAAAAGUAAAAAUGUUUUGUUAUGGGAAUUGAAAUAUCCCCUAUAUCUUCAUCCAUAAUCGUCUAUCCAUGAUAACAAUUUAAUAAACUUGAAAAAGCAAGAUAUCCAAUCCCAGUGAAUCAAACAGCCAAUUUUCUUCAUAAAGUUUAGCUUUUGCUUUUAAAAAUUUUAACUCUUGAGACCUUAAAUAAACUCAUAUUCAAAUUUACAUUUUCUAUAAUGAAAAUCUUCAAUUUACCCUUUUAAUAUUUUGAAAAACGGGUCCAGCUACAAUACAAUUGUAGUUUCAUACCUAUUUUUUUGUCUUUUUGUGAUCCAACCAUUGGAUCCAACCUAAGAGUUGCAAAGUCUAUUCCAACAACUUGGAUGUUAUUAUUUGGUUAUCAACAAUAUGGUCCCUUAUGUUUACUAAAAGAAUAAGAAAAAAUUAAAUUUCAAAAUUUUGACACAUUGGUCCGUUAAAAUAUUUUAUUAUCAAAGGUAAUUUAGUAAAUGAACAUAUUUAUAUAUUAAAAACAUGGAUGAAUUAUUUUAACUUGCUAAAAUACUCUCAAAUUCCAUUUACUUAAAAUACGAAUUAGAUUUAAUAAUACUAUUUUGUAUUUAGUGUAACACAAAAUUAGACAAGUUUUUAUAUAAAUUUUGACAAUAUUAAAAUGAAAAAUAAAUAAAUAUUAAACAAAUGCUUGGAUAGUCAUUUAAAUUCAUUAUAGAGCUUAUAAAUAAUAUUUUCAAAAUAAUAAAUUUCUAUAUGUAAAUUUGAAAUUAUGUAAAAUUACUUAGACUUUAUCACACAUAUGAAGCUGAUCAAUUAUUUAUUUGAUCUGAAAAUAAAUUAAUUGUAUAAUAUUUAUUCUAUUACUUAAAUUUAAAAUUUGUUGAGAAGGAGAUAGAGAGAAUAUUUUUUUUAGAAUUUUAAAUUAUUAUAUUUUAAUUGGGUUUAUUACAUAAAAUUAAGUUUUUAUUAUUUGCAUAAAACAAUAGGAAUUGUUGAAGAAAAUGCCAAAUAAAUUUUUUAGAAUUUUGAAAUUAUUAUAUUUUAAUUGGGGCUUAUUGUAUAAAAUUUUUAAAACUUAUAAUUUUUAUUAUUUACAGAAAACUACAGGGACUGCUAAAGAAAAUAUCAAAAUAGUGUUUGGUACAACGGGGUAAGAUAGUUUUGCUCUUGAAAAACAUUAAUUUACUUCUAUUUAUCAGUCAAAAGACUAAAAUAAAUGGAGAUAUGAUGAUGAUAAACUUUUUAACUUUUUAGUGGUAUUUGAUAAAUAUAAAUAAAUUGAAAAUUCUCGCUUUUACUUUUUAUUGGGCAUAAGUUAAAAAUCUUACUCUCUAUUUAUUAUGCUUUAACAAGAGAAAGAAAGAAAACGGAAAACAAAUCUCUUCUAUAGCAGUCUUAAAAAAAUUUUCAGCUGAGACUUAACCCAUAAAUUUUUAAAAACUUUUUGGUGGAUUCAUAUACAUUGAACUAGUCUUCUUUCUAUAUUACAUGGAUUAAAUUUUGAAAUUAGGGCAACCUAUUGUUAAAUCUGCCUUUCAAAUUAUUGACUUAAUAUUGCCCAAAAAAAAAAAAAAAAAUUUUCCUAUUACAGAAUUUUUCAUUGUUGCAGGAAACUGGAGUCGCAGCUGACAGUGCUCAAGGGCAAUCCUUAAAUUAAAUUUCAUUGCAAUCUUUGAAAUUUAAAUUAUUUGAGAAAAAAAAAAUCUUUGCAUAAUAUUGAACAACGCAUUUUCUUGUAUAAUAUCAAUGAAACAAUGCAUGUGAGGGGAAUAAAAAGAAUAAGACAGUAAUUAGCACUAUUUCAAGCAAAGAAAUCUGGGCACUAAUAUAUUUUCUCUGUUACUUUGCAAAAUUACUGCAUGUACAUGAGAUGAUUGCUUGCUACUGUAGUAUUGUGUAAGGUGAAACAUUUGAAGAAGAAUCCUUCUAAACUGGUAGUGUUGGUCGUUGUUGUCCUGCCGAGGAAGUGUCAUUAGAUUGAAACCUACUGCAAAUAUUGAUACAAAAUGGCUUCAAGGUUUCGUUGUAGAGCUGACGACAAGCUUCUGUAAGCAGCGCCCCAUAUUGAUGCACAACAAUGAUAAUGGACGAGCAAAGCCAUGCAGUGUACAAUAUGAUAUGACCAAUAUCAGAGCGUGGAACAAAUGUGGAGGCUAGCGAGACUGCAGAAACAGAUCCGGAGACUCGUGCUACAAGGGCCCAAGAUUGGGAAGAAUUCUCUUGAUGAGCUAAAUGUGCAUAACAAUAAAUGGCUGUGGUUAUGAGAAAAGACCAUAUAUUUGUUGUGUGUGUUUCAAGCAAGCGCUCAGUUGUGCCUUGCGUAUUUGCUCCCACGAUGCCGAUGAGAGCUGGAAUGAGAUAUCCAAACACGUUAUGGUAUGCGUUUGACAUCGCAGAUAAAUAAAAUUUGUUCCUGCAGAACCAUUAAAAUACUAUAUUAAGGAAAGUAUUAGAUCCAUUCCUUUAGAAAAACAGGAAUUUAAGAGAUCAUUAUGUAUUUAGUCUCAUUUAAUAUUAGUUUAAUUUUUUCAAGUCAUAGUUAUUGUGAAAAAAAAAUUAUUAAAUACUUUUAUUGAUUGGUAAGGAUUUAAAAAGGAAAUUUGGGAUUUUUUUUUUGUUUUCUUGUGAACAUUGACGGUAUAUAUGUAGGGUAAAGUUUUAUUUUUAAAUACACGUUGUGGCUCAGGUCAGAGAGAGAAGGGAGACGGUCAAGAUUGCUGGGUUGACUUUCUUUUCCCGUCAGCCAUUUUGUAAUAGAUUGAUCAGAGCAAUCAUUACCUGCAAAACUUAACACAGCACCAAAUUAACAACCAACAUUUCAAUUGAAACAAAUCUACUUGAAAAUAAAAGAAAAAGCAACUCCAAAUCAAAAUCGAAAUGAAACCUUAUCAGAGAGACAGCCGCAAGUAUGAAGAGACAAGCACGAUCCUGAAGGACUAUUACUCCAAAUCAAAAUCGAAUUAUAAGAGAGAAAGCCGCAAGUACGAAGAGAGAAGCGCGAUCCUAAAAGAUCUGAAGUCGUGUUGUAUAUAUGUCUUGUAUAGAUUGACAGAGCAAUCAAAGGCCGUGUCGACCAGAGCAAUCGAAGAGUAGAAGAGAUAAGAGAGGAAAAAAGAAGAAGAGGAGAACUGCAGCAGCAAAUGAGCAAGGGCAGUAUUUAUAGGACAAACUGAGGCCUAUAAAGGGUCCACUAGUGGACCAGAGCAAUCAAAUGUGGAUUUGAGACUAAAUAUCGACGAAGCUUUUGUGUAUAUAUUGUUUUCGUGAACUUCUCAUCUUUUAUUUAAUUGAAUUGAUAAAGGUAAUGCGAUGGAGUUGGAGUUUUACAAAGUAACUCCAAAUUUUACAAAGUAACAUCGAUAAAGUAGUAACAUCGAUAAAGUAACAUCGAUAAAGUAAUAUUGUAAGUAAGGAAAAAAGCCAAUAUUUUCCAUGUUAGGAACAUCGAUAAAGUAGUAUCAUGAUCUUCAAAUUCAAUAAUUCGGUACUGGAUUUUUUAAUAGCUGAUGGUGGUGGAAUUUCUGCAUGAAAAAGGUAGGAUAUAAACCAGAAAAAUCAAUAAAGCAUGUCAUGCAUGUUACAUUGCUACUCCAAGCGAGUAAAUUUUUCUACAUCGGAUAUGACUUGUUACGAUCAAGUUAAUAAAAGUUCAAAUCAAGAAAGAAAUCUCGACGUAGACUAUGUCGUGGACAGCGGGACACGUAUGAUGAAUCAGAUGCUGGUUACUCUUCAUAUAGUUCCUGUACAACAUAAUGAUUACUUACAAUAUUACUUUAUCGAUGUUACUUUAUCGAUGUUACUACUUUAUCGAUGUUACUUACUUUAUCGAUGUUACUACUUUAUCGAUGUUACUUUUCAAGUAGAUUUGUUUCAAUUGAAAUGUUGGUUGUUAAUUUGGUGUUGUGUUAAGUUUUGCAGGUAAUGAUUGCUCUGAUCAAUCUAUUACAAAAUGGCUGACGGGAAAAGAAAGUCAACCCAGCAAUCUUGACCGUCUCCCUUCUCUCUCUGAACUGAGCCACAACGUGUAUUUAAAAAUAAAACUUUACCCUACAUAUAUACCGUCAAUGUUCACAAGAAAACAAAAAAAAAAUCCCAAAUUUCCUUUUUAAAUUCUUACCAAUCAAUAAAAGUAUUUGAUAAUUAUUUUUUUUCACAAUAACUAUGACUCGAAAAAAUUAAACUAAUAUUAAAUGAGACUAAAUACAUAAUGAUCUCUUAAAUUCCUGUUUUUCUAAAGGAAUGGAUCUAAUACUUUCCGUAAUAUAGUAUUUUAAUGGUUCUGCAAGAACAAAUUUUAUUUAUCUGCGAUGUCAAACGCAUACCAUAACGUGUUUGGAUAUCUCAUUCCAGCUCUCAUCGGCAUUGUGGGAGCAAAUAUGCAAGGCACAAAUGAGCGCUUGCUUGAAACACACACAACAAAUAUAUGGUCUUUUCUCAUAACCACAGCCAUUUAUUGUUAUGCACAUUUAGCUCAUCAAGAGAAUUCUUCCCAAUCUUGGGCCCUUGUAGCACGAGUCUCCGGAUCUGUUUCUGCAGUCUCCUUGAUCUCCACAUUUGUUCCACGCUCUGAUAUUGGUCAUAUCAUAUUGUACACUGCAUGGCUUUGCUCGUCCAUUAUCAUUGUUGUGCAUCAAUAUGGGGCGCGGUUUACAGAAGCUUGUCGUCAGCUCUACAAUGAAACCUUGAAGCCAUUUUGCAGUCAGCUCUAUAACGAAACCUUGAAGCCAUUUUGUAUCAAUAUUUGCAGUAGGUUUCAAUCUAAUGACACUUCCUCGGCAGGACAACAACGACCAACACUACCAGUUUAGAAGGAUUCUUCUUCAAAUGUUUCACCUUACACAGUACUACAGUAGCAAGCAAUCAUCUCAUGUACACGCAGUAAUUUUGAAAAGUAACAGAGAAAUCAUAUUAGUGUCCAGAUUUCUUUGCUUGAAAUAGUGCUAAUUACUGUCUUAUUCUUUUUAUUCCCCUCACAUGCAUUGUUUCAUUGAUAUUAUACAAGAAAAUGCGUUGUUCAAUAUUAUGCAAAGAUUUUUUUUUUCUCAAAUAAUUUAAAUUUCAAAGAUUGCAAUGAAAUUUAAUUUAAGGAUUGCCCUUGAGCACUGUCAGCUGCGACUCCAGCUUCCUGCAACAAUGAAAAAUUCUGUAAUAGGUAAAAAGUCUCUUUUUUGGCAAUAUUAAGUCAAUAAUUUGAAAGGCAGAUGUAACAACAGGUUGGCCUAAUUUCAAAAUUUAAUCCAUGUAAUAUAGAAAGAAGACUAGUUCAAUGUAUAUGAAUCCACCAAAAAGUUAUUAAAAAUUUAGGAUUUAACACUUGGAAAUGGCAAUUAGGUACUACCUCAAGAGAUUUUACAGCUUGAACCAACCAAGGGGGUAUGUUUGCAAUUGCUGUGACUAAGUAUAAAUAGAUGGUUGGUCAGUGGUAAGAACCAGCCUUCUAGCAUCUUUAGGCACAAAGAACUCAAGAAAAAACCCCACAUGAGACACAAGACCCAAUGCUCAGCAUGCAGCAAGCUUAUCUAGAUUCAGGUGCUUUAAGAAUCAAAUUCACAUUACAUGAAAAGUUCACUAUUCAGAAUGGCACUCUGUAUGACAGCAAAGAGAUAAGUGGAAGAAAAAAAAUCUGAAAAUCAACAUACCUUUUUCUUUGUGAUUAGGUAGUCGAACCCCACUAACUCGCUUAUUUCAAGCAGCCAGGUCAGCUCAACACGGUCGUCUUGUAUCCUUCAAGAUGCACAACCCUUGUGAAAUUUCCAUCCUGGUUCCUACUAAUUUGCUCCACAAUUGCAUUCCCAAUCUAUUUAUGUGAAUCGUAUUUCCAGAGAUCAACUCGGCAUUGGCAAGGUCCAUCCAUAUUGUUUUUGCAUAUGUUGUAGCUUUCACUCCUACACCUUUACGCGUCUUAUGCCUCAGUUUGAUGCGAACUCAUGGUUUGUCAAGGCCAUUGGUAAGAGUCAGUCAGUCAGCAAUAGUAAUAUCUGCCUUUCUUCAAUCACAGCAGCGAGUAUAGGGCACGCAGGAUUAAUAAUCUUCUUAUUAAUAUAGUAGUUCAAAGUUUGUCACAUUCCAAAUGGUUGAGACUGUUUGAAGCCACCAGAAAAAGUAAAUAUACAAAAGUCAGUCUUCCACUUAACUGAUAGCAAAUACUAUAUGAAAUAUGAAAAAUUACUUCAGCUACAUUGUCUUACCAGUUCAAGGAUAAACUGCAACAGAGAUUCAAUUUUCAGUCUCCUACGAAUAAUUCUUUGGAGGGCCAAAAAAAGAGGAUUAUCUAAUCCAUUAUGUACAAACCACAAAAGCUUGCUGAGAGGCAUAUUACACCAUUUUCAACCAGUUAAACUCAUAAAUUUGAACCUUUAUACUCUCAUAUCCUCUUGAACCAUAUGGUAUUGGGCAUUACGAGCAUUGUACUCACCAGAUCUCAAACUAAAAGACAUGAAAGUUAAUCCAUAAGGUAGGUAUAUCUUGUAAUUUGACCUGAUUUGAUCGUGGGAUCUGGGCUGCAACAACUGGACGGGAUCUCAAAGGGACUUGCUGGAAUCUUGCAUGUUCAACUUCCUGCUACGACACCACUAUUAACAUCCCAAUUUUCUUAUGAAAACACACGGAGAUAAUAGAAUGAUAUCUCAAUGCUUCAAGCCAUUCACAAACAUUUUCCAUGUAAUUGGUUGCAAUAUCAGACGAGCUUAAUCCUGCCACCAAUAAUCUGCUUCACCUUGAAGCACGAAUAAGGCAAACACGCUAUCCUCCACUCGUCAUUCGGCCUCAACAGAUCACUGGGGGAAGGUUAAAGCUCGUGUGAUGAGUUGUUAAAGGGAAAAUACCCAUUUUGAUAAAUAUGCCAAGAAGAAAUCACUACAGUCAAAGGGUAUAAAUAUCCUAAUACAAGUCUAUGUGAUCAUUUCUAAAACCACGCAAAGAAGUCGGUGUCCUUUCCCCACAACAAUAAAUAGAAAUCACCAUACUUCCAUGAUUAUCCAAAGAGCGCGAACCCUGCCACAUCAUAAAAACUAUUAUAAAUCUAUUUACAGAAUUUCACCAAAUCAAGAAUAAACUUGACUGAAAGGAGGCAUCGUGUGAUAUUUGCAUCCCCACAAUUUCUUAUCAGAUUCGAUUCAUAAAACAAAUAGGAACACAUAUAAAAUUCAAAUAAAAUUCUUUCAAAAAAAAUUUCAGUGCAGUGGAAUUGAAUUAAUCUGAAGGAAAAAAAAAUGGUUGGUAUGUGGAAAUUAUACUUGAAACGUUGUCGUUUUUGGCAUAAUUGCUGUGAUAUAUUUAUUUGUUUGUGUUUUUAUUUCUUUUUUCUGGGUUUUAGGGUCACAAUCGGAGAGAGAAGACAAGGUCUCGUUGGAACUCUCUGAAGAAGUUCUUCAGAGCAUGGAAAUGGGCAUUUCUUUUAGAGAUUAUGUAAGAGAAUCUUCUAAUAAGUUUCUGUCUGAGGAACAUACUUGAUUUGCGUUUUAAAUGUAUCUGUUUGUUAAUUCAGUGUCGUUUUGUAUUGAUUCGUACUGUAACAGAAUGGGAGAAUUAUUAGUUCCUUGGAUCUUCAUAAAUCAUCGAGUUAUUUGGUGACGGCUAGUGAUGAUGAAUCUAUACGGCUGUACGAUGUCUCUGCUGCCACGUAAGUUGAUCCUCUGUUUCUUAGGAUUUUAUGUUGUCUCUUGGGAAGUGCUUUUAACUAAGAAAUGGCUUUUGAAUAAGCAUAAAAAGCUGGUUUCAAUCUUGCAAUGUUUGUUUGAAAUUGCAGGAAUAAUAAAGUGUCUUUUGAAAUCAAAGGAACCCUUGAAGUGUUUUUCUGGGGAAGUGCUUGAUAUCUGCUUUCAUGGAUAGAACUUUUUGGAUUAGGAAACCACUUGUAGUGCUGUUUGAAGAAGUGCUUCAUAUAUGUUUCAAAGUGAUUUUACUCGAGGGUACUUUCCAUUAAAGCACUGCUGAACGUAUCCUCUGCGUGUUUGAUGAGCUCAUGAAAGCUACUGUCUUUCUAAGAUGGAGAAAAAUGCUUUUUAGAUGAAACAGAAAAAAAAAAAAAGGAGAACCUUGGAGUGGUUUUCAGGGAGGUGCUUAAGGGAAAUGUAAUUGAUAUAUUUUUCAAGAACUUUUGUAAAAGGGCCUUUUCUUUUUCUUUUUUGUUUUGUUUGCAUAAGCUCUUUCUAUAAGAGCACUGCCAAAUGCACUUCAGUUGUCUUAGCUGAGCUCAUGAUAGUUGGUAUUGCAAUUGUUGCUGAGAGCCUUAAUUGAAAUUUCAGAUGUUUGAAGACAAUUAACAGCAAAAAAUAUGGGAAUAUUUGUGUUUUGUUUGUUGGUGGAUUGCUUUACUAGGCACUUAUUUGAUACGUUCAUUUAUUCAGAAUCUCUACGGCUUCUUUCCUCGCACGAUAACAAGUACUUGCGUUACUUCAAAGGUCAUCAUAACAGGUUUGUAAUUCACUUAUUCUUGUAAAUAUUUCGUAAUUAUUAUUAUCUGUAUUAUGUUUUACUGCUUCUAGGGUUGUUUCACUUAGCCUGUGCUCCUCCAAAGAUUGCUUUAUCUCUGGUUCUCUUGGUCAAUCUGUUCUGCUCUGGGAUCAACGGGCUGAGAAAUGCUAGGUGGAUAUCAUGCCAUCCACCAUUUUCAAUUGUAUUUAUGAUCUCUGUUGGCAAAUACGGGUCUUUUGCGUGUUCAAGGAAGGCCUGCUACAGCAUAUGAUGAUCAAGGGCCUGUCUUUGCAGUUGCCUUUGGAGGAUACAUAAGAAUGUUUGAUGCUCGUAAGUAGGAGAAGGUUAAAAUUAAUAUUUAAGAACAUCUUGGAAGUUUAUAUGUCGUACUUUUAUCAUGCACUAAUUUGGUUAAAUUUGGAUACAUCUUCUCUGAUGGUGGAGAUGUAUCAGAUUCUGAUGCUGUAAAGUUCAGCAAUGAUGGGAGACUUAUGCUUCCGGCCUCUAUGGAAGGACAUAUUCAUGUGCUUGACUCAUUCCAAGGCACACUUGUGAGUUGACUUUUUCUUUCUUCAUCUCCCAAAUGUAACAUAUUGUACGUAUAUACCCCUCUAUACACUGGAAUCUCUGUUAAUGAGCUUCUGUUUACUCUUGUUUUUAUUUAUCCACUUAUGAUGCCAAGCCAGUUUCUCGCAAUUCCACAUUGGAGGCAUCUUUCAGCCCGGUAGAGUUUCUCCUUUCAGUUCUUAGGGCACGGUGACUUGGAUAUUUUGUUAAUAUUUGCUUUUGACUGUUUUGAUAAUUUAUAUUAAAGUUCUUGCACUUGUGCUGUAUAUAAUUCUCAAAUUUGUUACCACCUUGUUGGUAUAUUGAAAUACACGACUUGAAAUGCUGGGCAUCAAGCUUGUUUCCGCAGAAUUCUUUGAAAUAAAUUCAUUUUCUCUUCUUCAUUGACUUGGUUUGAAACCCACUCCCAUCCAUGCAAAUCCAAAUGCGUACGUAUUUUCAUCUGGUUGUGCUUAUUAAUGAAAAUAAAUCAAUGAAAUGCUCAAACAGCAAGUGCACCCACACAUGUGGAAGCAGCCUAGUGUGGCCAAGCACCUCUCAUUCGUUUUAUGUGAUACAAUUGGUUUGUUGCACUCUUUGUGCUAAUUUUACUUUCUCGGUUUGGAAGGUUCUGAUGAUGGCAGUGGAUAUGCUUGGACUGUACGGAGCGGGAAAGGGGUAUGAUAAGCAAAAUUCCUUGAUUCUCAUGCCUUUUGAAUGCUUAAAAUUCAAAGGGAUGUUAUUUCCCUUACAUUGACCCCAGUCAUAGCAUUCAUUGUCUUCUAGCCAAACCAACAAUGCUUUUGAAUCUACAUUUGAGCAUUUACCUUAAGCACCAGUUUGCAUAAUGAGUUCUGUAUCCAAAUACUAUAUUCUUUUGACAUUGGUAUUGUUAUUAUAUAAACAUUGUUUGGUUUUGUUUAUUUUUCUUGUCAGGGGUGCAAGUUGGAUGAGUUUUCAUAGAGAGCCUCCUGUCAUAAAAUGGGCCCCCGGAAGUCUCAUAUUUGUUACGGGGUCAUCUGAGCUAUCAUUUUGGAAUCCUAAUGUGUCUAAACUAGGAGCUUACGUUGGGAGGAAGUAAAGUUUCUAACACUCAGCACCCUUAAGUAUCUGAAUAUUGAUGUCUAUCUAUUGCCGGGAGGGGAACUUGUUUGUAAGGAGAUGUUCAAUUUCCUAUAGUAGUAUGUAAAUGCAUCUGACUUCCCUGCUAGUAACCUUUCCUAACAAGUUCUGAAGAAACAACAGUAGAUCUGGUAUCAGUACUUAUUCAGAAGAGCAUUUCUUCUUACAUGCACAGCUAAGAGUACAUGAAUUGAGCUACUGAAGCCCUUCCUGACCAACCUGGCUAAGGCUCCUUUCAGUUUGUCCUCUUCAUGGUUCUUUGGCAGGCAACAGCGUAAGCAAUUACCUGGACUAUGAGGCCUUUUGUAGCGGGGUGGGCACUGCCUAGGCAGUUUUUGAAAAAACUAGGAGCUUUAUUUGUCAUUGACAUUUGUAGCACGAUUAGUUAUUACCUGGAUUAAGUUGUAUAUAUUACAUCGUAUACCUAAUCUGACAAAUAACAGGUUGCAAUCCAAG